rnacentral:lncRNA from 1 species
AAUAAUUGGGUAUAUCGGAGCUUAAUUAUUACCUUUCACUAUAUAAUAUACGUAGUAAUUUUACAAAAAGAAAUUUGAGAACUAGAAAAAGACAUAUUAGUAACUAACUAACGGGAAGGUCGUAAAAAAUGGAUCAAGAAUUGGAAACAGUAUAUAAAUCCAAGCCCUAGGCCACUACGUGGAUAUAAGAUGCCUUCCUCCUGACUGUCUUGUCUGAAAAGAAUGUGUUCUUCCUUACAAUUAUAUUCAUCUUCGUAUGAUUUAAUCGAC